UUAAAAGUAGUUAAUUUAUAACUUAGAAUUGUCAGUUCUAGAUUCCUUGUAAUAAGGCUUUUUAU
rnacentral:tRNA from 1 species